rnacentral:rRNA from 1 species
AUUGAACGCUGGCGGCAGGCCUAACACAUGCAAGUCGAACGAGUGGCGGACGGGUGAGUAAUGUCUGGGAAACUGCCUGAUGGAGGGGGAUAACUACUGGAAACGGUAGCUAAUACCGCAUACCAUCAGAUGUGCCCAGAUGGGAUUAGCUAGUGGGUGGGGUAACGGCUCACCAAGGCGACGAUCCCUAGCUGGUCUGAGAGGAUGACCGGCCACCCUGGAACUGGUACACGGGCCAGCCUCGUACGGGGGGCGGCAGUGGGGAGUAUUGCACAAGGGGCGCAAGCCUGAUGCAGCCAUGCCGCGGGUCUGAAGAAGGCCUUCGGGUUUUAAAGUCCUUUCAGCGGGGAGGCGUUACCCGCAGAAGAAGCACCGGCUAACUCCGUGCCAGCCGCCGCGGUAAUUC